rnacentral:ribozyme from 1 species
GUGAAUAAUGAAACAAACGAAAAUUUAGAUUGCUUACUGCCUUGAACUGAUUUUUGUAUAUUUUUUUCGUUUUUAUUGUUUACCUCACGACGGCACAUUCUUGAGCUUCUACAAUGUCCGGUCCGAGACCCCCGUCGUUUCUCGGUUUUGAAAAUUAAAGGUCGCUGUUUUAUUAAUUGUCGGCUUAUUUUUCUAUGAGGCUACCUGCAAAACAGCGACAAUAAAAGUU